rnacentral:tRNA from 1 species
UCCCUAGUAGCUCAGUUGGUAAAGAAUCUGCCUGCAAUGCAGGAGACUCAGGUUCAAUCCCUGGGUUAGGAA